rnacentral:rRNA from 1 species
AACGAACGCUGGCGGCAUGCCUUACACAUGCAGGUCGAACGGUAACAGGUCUUCGGAUGCUGACGAGUGGCGAACGGGUGAGUAAUACAUCGGAACGUGCCUAGUAGUGGGGGAUAACUACUCGAAAGAGUGGCUAAUACCGCAUGAGAUCUACGGAUGAAAGCAGGGGAUCGCAAGACCUUGUGCUACUAGAGCGGCCGAUGGCAGAUUAGGUAGUUGGUGGGAUAAAAGCUUACCAAGCCGACGAUCUGUAGCUGGUCUGAGAGGACGAUCAGCCACACUGGGACUGAGACACGGCCCAGACUCCUACGGGAGGCAGCAGUGGGGAAUUUUGGACAAUGGGCGCAAGCCUGAUCCAGCAAUGCCGCGUGCAGGAUGAAGGCCUUCGGGUUGUAAACUGCUUUUGUACGGAACGAAAAGCCCCGGGUUAAUACCCUGGGGUCAUGACGGUACCGUAAGAAUAAGCACCGGCUAACUACGUGCCAGCCGCCGCGGUAACAC